UUUAACUGAAGAGUUUGAUCAUGGCUCAGAUUGAACGCUGGCGGCAGGCUUAACACAUGCAAGUCGAGCGGGGGAAGGUAGCUUGCUACUGGACCUAGCGGCGGACGGGUGAGUAAUGCUUAGGAAUCUGCCUAUUAGUGGGGGACAACAUCUCGAAAGGGAUGCUAAUACCGCAUACGUCCUACGGGAGAAAGCAGGGGAUCUUCGGACCUUGCGCUAAUAGAUGAGCCUAAGUCGGAUUAGCUAGUUGGUGGGGUAAAGGCCUACCAAGGCGACGAUCUGUAGCGGGUCUGAGAGGAUGAUCCGCCACACUGGGACUGAGACACGGCCCAGACUCCUACGGGAGGCAGCAGUGGGGAAUAUUGGACAAUGGGGGGAACCCUGAUCCAGCCAUGCCGCGUGUGUGAAGAAGGCCUUAUGGUUGUAAAGCACUUUAAGCGAGGAGGAGGCUACUUUAGUUAAUA
rnacentral:rRNA from 1 species